rnacentral:rRNA from 1 species
GAUGAACGCUAGCGGCAGGCCUAACACAUGCAAGUCGAGGGGUAGAGUUCUUCGGAACUUGAGACCGGCGCACGGGUGCGUAACGCGUAUGCAAUCUACCUUAUACAGGGGAAUAGCCCAGAGAAAUUUGGAUUAAUGCCCCAUAGUAUUAUUGAAUGGCAUCAUUUGAUAAUUAAAGUUCCAACGGUAUAAGAUGAGCAUGCGUCCCAUUAGUUAGUUGGUAAGGUAACGGCUUACCAAGACAAUGAUGGGUAGGGGUCCUGAGAGGGAGAUCCCCCACACUGGUACUGAGACACGGACCAGACUCCUACGGGAGGCAGCAGUGAGGAAUAUUGGUCAAUGGGGCGCAAGCCUGAACCAGCCAUGCCGCGUGCAGGAAGAAGCAUCUAUGGUGUGUAAACUGCUUUUAUACAGGAAGAAACAACUCUACGUGUAGAGUCUUGACGGUACUGUAAGAAUAAGGACCGGCUAACUCCGUG